CUACGGGGGGCUGCAGUGAGGAAUAUUGCACAAUGGGGGGAACCCUGAUGCAGCAACGCCGCGUGGAGGAUGACGCAUUUCGGUGUGUAAACUCCUUUUAUAUGUCAAGAAAAUGACGGUAGCAUAUGAAUAAGCGCCGGCUAACUCCGUGCCAGCAGCCGCGGUAAUACGGAGGGUGCAAGCGUUACUCGGAAUCACCGGGCGUAAAGGACGCGUAGGCGGGUUGGAAAGUCAGGUGUGAAAUCCUACAGCUUAACUGUAGAACUGCACUUGAAACUUCUAAUCUAGAGUAUGGGAGGGGGAGAUGGAAUUAGUGGUGUAGGGGUAAAAUCCGUAGAUAUCACUAGGAAUACCUAAAGCGAAGGCGAUCUCCUGGAACAUUACUGACGCUAAGGCGUGAAAGCGUGGGGAGCAAACAGGAUUAGAUACCCCGGUAGUC
rnacentral:rRNA from 1 species